CAGCCGCCGCGGGAAAACGAAGGGGGCUAGCGUUGUUCGGAAUUACUGGGCGUAAAGCGCACGUAGGCGGAUAUUUAAGUCAGGGGUGAAAUCCCAGAGCUCAACUCUGGAACUGCCUUUGAUACUGGGUAUCUUGAGUAUGGAAGAGGUUAGUGGAAUUGCGAGUGUAGAGGUGAAAUUCGUAGAUAUUCGCAGGAACACCAGUGGCGAAGGCGGCUAACUGGUCCAUAACUGACGCUGAGGUGCGAAAGCGUGGGGAGCAAACAGGAUUAGAUACCCCUGUAGUCCCUGUCUCUUAUAC
rnacentral:rRNA from 1 species